GUUUACGGCCAUACCAGCCUGGGUACGCCCGAUCUCGUCUGAUCUCGGAAGCUAAGCAGGGUCGGGCCUGGUUAGUACUUGGAUGGGAGACCACCUGGUAUUCCCAGGUGGUCUAAGCU
rnacentral:rRNA from 1 species